rnacentral:pre_miRNA from 1 species
UGGAAACUACCGUUGGAUUGCAAAAUGAACGUCCGAGAUUCAUCCACGUCACAAUGAGUAAAAAUUUUACUCUCAAGUAAAUCUGCAAGUAAAAUUUUUACUCAUGCUGACGUGGAUGAAUCUUAGAUAUCUAUUUUUUGAUUCAACGGUAGUUUCCA